UGUGCCUACGGGGGGCAGCAGUGGGGGAUAUUGCACAAUGGGGGGAACCCUGACCCAGCAACGCCGCGUGAAGGAAGAAGGCUUUCGGGUUGUAAACUUCUUUUGACAGGGAAGAGCAGAAGACGGUACCUGUCGAAUAAGCCACGACUAACUACGUGCCAGCAGCCGCGGUAAUACGUAGGUGGCAAGCGUUGUCCGGAUUUACUGGGUGUAAAGGGCGUGUAGCCGGGCUGACAAGUCAGAUGUGAAAUCCGGGGGCUCAACCACCGAACUGCAUUUGAAACUGUUGGUCUUGAGUAUCGGAG
rnacentral:rRNA from 1 species